GCGGUAUCUGAAGAGCCUUUAAGUAAGAGGGGAUAAGGGUCCUGUUGAAGAACAUAGGCUUGGGAGUAGAUAGCCAGAUCCAGCUCCAGAACAGGUUACUCGGCCUCUGCGUCCUGUAUCUUCAUGGGUCCCCUCCUAGGCAGGUCUGGA